rnacentral:rRNA from 1 species
GUCUGCAACUCGAGUACAUGAAGCUGGAAUCGCUAGUAAUCGCAAAUCAGAAUGUUGCGGUGAAUACGUUCCCGGGUCUUGUACACACCGCCCGUCACACCAUGGGAGCCGACAACGCCCGAAGUCAGUGACCUAACCGAGAGGGAGGAGCUGCCGAAGGCGGGGUUGGUAACUGGGGUGAAGUCGUAACAAGGUAUC